AGUCGAUUUGUUCUGUCUGGAUUAUAUGGCCUUAAUGGGGUGCACGAGUUAACAUUGAGUUUUAACCACAGCAAACAUGGAGCAUAAUCACAGCAGCUAACGUGAUGUGUGUGACCUACUUCCUGCGUUAUAUGAGGCUUGGUGGUAGAUGUGUUUCUGCUUUGAUCGUUCAGAGGAGGAAUCUCUCAGGAGCGGAUGCCAUUAAUGCCCUGCGGCCCUUUUAUUUUGCAGUGCACCCUGAUUUCUUUGGCCAGCAUCCAAGAGAGAGAGAAGUAAAUGAAAACUCCCUCAAAAGACUAAAUGGUUAUCUGGAAAAUCUUCAGAAGCCUGGGGCGAGGUCCCCCAAACCAACAAACCUCACGUUUUAUGUCAGGGACACAAAGGAAAGAACUGACUCUGAUGACAGUCUGCUUGUCUCAAGAUUUCGCUCUGUGAGUUUCACUCUGCAGUCUAGGGAUGUUCUGAGCACAGUGCUGGAUGUUCUGAAGUCCUGUCAUCUCUCAGAUGAGCAUAUGCAGGAUCUGCUCAAAGCUGAAACCAGAAAGAACUCAACACCACAGUCUGGAAACAUACCUUUUUAUCGGCCCAUCAAAUGGGACAAAACUUACUACACUUUUACAGGGUUUAGAGACCCAGAGCAGGAGUUAGAACAAGCCAGCAAAGUGGAGCCCACACUCAGCUGCGUGUUGCCUAUACAGCUGGAGUUCCUCUUUCUGCCCCCUGCUGAAAACAGUUUAUGGCUAAGGAACAAUGAGCCAGAGGCCACAAAGAAACAGAACGCCAGUCUGCCACGGCGUGAGGAGCAGAAGAGACUGAAAAGAGAGCUGAUUCAGAAACUGGGCCUGCUGGAUAUCAGGUGGCAGCGCAAAUGGGGAGUCGCACACAAAUGCUGCCAGCUGCAGAGCUUGAGUCGUCUCUCCGCACAAAGCCCUGAAGUUCUGCACAACCUGAGAGGACAUAUAAUAGUUUUUACUGACCAAUCAGGGAUGAAUGCCUCAGGUCAUGUGAUGUUAGGAACAAUGGAUGUCCACCACCAGUGGACAAAGCUCUUUGAAAGAUUACCCAGUUACCGCAGUCUGUUCCAGCAGUCGGACUGGCUGAAGGAGCGCAUCAGUCACCUGUUGGGUGGGAUUCAAGUGAUCCAUAUCGAGUGGUUGGGCCCCGCUCUGCCCCUGGAGGAACACUACAGUACCCUUAACACCUUCCACAAGAGGCUGUUGCCCCAGCGCCUCUCGCUGCAUCCCCGCAGUCUGCAUGGCCUCACCAUGACACUGGAGAAUGAUCGCUCCACCCCCUGCCUGCAUGAGAUGGGGCACUUCAUCAUCCCCACCAAGUGUGAUACCCUCCUGCUGCAGAACUUCCUCCAGAGUCAGGCCAAGGAGGCCCGGAGGCGCAUCCAACACAAAGACCAGGAAGAAAGAAUGUCAAACAGGUUCCCAUUCAGUCUGUUCACUUGGUAAAGCACACUGAGUAUGGGAAAUCGCGCUCUCACAUACUCUACUGAAGACGCCUCUAUUCACGCCUGAAAGGCCACUGACACAAGGCAACACCAGGUAGCCCUACCCACCUGGCUGGUAUACAAAUACCGUCGCCUGUGUCAUCCCGUCAUUCUUCAGCUCUUCACCUCACUGAAAGAACACCUCACGCUCGUUGUGGUUAAGCCCAAGCACGUCUACCCAGAGCAAUAACAUUCACGCAUUUCACAGCAAUGCAUCCCUUCAGUUGAACUGUCCUACUGGUUGUGAGUUUAUGCUCCCUCCUCUGGGCGCUGUUUGUAGAAGUCUUUGCAAGAAGAAAAUGAAAUAUGUUGGUGGUGCAUAGUCAACAGUCCAUGCCGAAUUGGCCCUUUCUUGCUCGAGGCAUAUAAGCGUGUUGUCACCGGCCUCGAUGCUCGAGUCUUGAACGGCAUGUGAUUUUGUGGAGAGAACACUCAGUGCCCAGAAUAUACGCUGCAUAGGGAUAAUUUGUGGGGGCCAAUCCCACCCCAGAUAUAUUUAUUUAUCAGAAUUGUGUUCGCCAGGUAAAAGGUUUAGCAGUGCUAACAGUUUGCAGUGAACCCAUUCUGCCCGCUUGUUCACAAAAGGGCACAUCGCCCUUGACAUGCUCUUCUGCCUGGGAAGCGCGUUGACUUGGUCUCUAAGUGACGGCAUGUGGCAGCCUAUCGCAAGUGUCUCACUGUGAGUUUCCUCAGUUUGAGCACCACUCAAACUUUUCAAGGGGUUGUGAUGCCAGCUGUUGUGAAAGUGUGCUAAGAGAAGAGUCUCUUGGUCUUCCAGUCUCGGAAUGUGCUAUUUUAUGCCUGUUAUUUUCUUGCUCUAGAGAAAGAUGGGAGAUUGCGUCUUAUGGACAUGAGAAAGUUGAAUGAAAAAACACCUGCAAGUGUAAAAGUUCACAAAAUUCACACACUUCAGGUGCCACUCUGUGCGGUUCCCCACUAUGGGUUCAUGUCAGUCAAACAGACGCUUCCCUUCAUAUAGCAAUAUUACCCUGGUCAUACCUGAGGUUUGCUUUGUAAGGAAUAGGAUAUGGAUUUUCAUAUCCUCCCGUUCUGUCACUGUCACCUUGCAUAUUUAUAAAUUGUGUAAGGUGGUAUUAACACAGCCUUACCGGGGUGUGCAAAAUUGAGCAUACAGGCUUUGAGGGAGCAGGUUUUUCCUCAGAUGAAUGCCUUGAUUCACCUCACACAGCUCUGGGAUUCUGUUUAAAUCUCAAAAAAAGCAUUUUAUUCUCUUGCCAGUGAAUAACAUUUCUUGGCAUUGAGCUCGAGCCCAUAGGCAACAAAGCUUAUCUGUCACAGCAUAUAAGAUAUAUGACAUGAUUUCACCUUGCCACCUCACACAUUUUCCAAAUGUGUUGAGACAAAUAUUAACACUGAUGGGUAGUCAGAGUGUGCAAAUUAUAGUAUAGAUUAUACUCUCAGAGAAUGAAGAGCAGGCUUCUGUGCCUUGGUUCAACUCUUACAGGCUCAGGAAAAAAAAAAGAGAGCAUUCUCCCUCGUAAAUGAAUAACAUUUCUAAAAUUUCACAACAAGCCAUGUGAUAAGAUGUGUGGAUUGACGGUCUCGGACGCAUCUGAGAUUCAUCCUCUGCCACCCGGAUAGAGGCGAGUCACUACGCCACCACGAGGACUUAGAGCGCACUGGGAAUUGGGCAUUCCAAAUUGGGGAGAAAAAGGGGAGAAAAAAAAAAGCUUAUCUGUCAUGACAGAGAGUGGUUGUGUUUCUUUAUUCAUAUCAUAAAAAGGCAAUAGCCUAUGUAAUGGUUUGACCAUGUCACCUCGCACAUUUCCCAGAUGUGUAAAGGUGUAUCUUGUCUGUCAUGCAAAUCAUAUAUGGUAUCAUUUAUCUGUGAUAGAUCUAGUGUUGCUAUGGCAUGAUAUAUUAAUAUCUACAGUAUGAUACCAUCUGUGUAUUAUGAUACCAUUCGUGUUGUUUGGAUGCAUUGUGUGGGUGCACAGGACACAAGACACGAGCCUUAUGUUGUACUGGUGCCGAUGCAGUCUGAGCAGCAAGCGACUCCGAGUACCACAUGCUUGUGGGAAUGUUAACUACUGUAUAUACAGCAGUUAUUAUGGUGUCACCGUAGUCACAGUUCUACCGUUUGGAAAUUAAUGUGGCACCACCAGUAUUCUGGAGCUUGAGUGUGCCGGUUGUUCUUUAGUAUUGGUAUACCACGCAACACUACUGGGUCAUGUUCAGUGUGCGUUCCCCGCCACUUCCGCUGAGCCCAUGGUGGAACCCCCCACUGAUCUAUAAUAUAUAUAUAUAUAUAUAUAUAUAUAUAUAUAUAUAUAUAUAUAUAUAUAUAUAUAUAGGUAGGUAGGUAGGUAGAUAGGUAGAUAGAUAGAACUCCUCCUGCUCAUGUGAGGAAUCCCGAUGUACAUGUCAUCACUGAGAAAGUAGUCCUUGUGGAAGGGAGUUUUCCAUGAGAGGGCCAUACAUGAUCAACCAUACAGGUUCAAUUCCACUUCAGAUUUUGAGAAUUACUGGCCAUUUUCAAUCGUUUCGCUUCAUACUGAGCGAAGCAAACAUGAUCUGGUCAGAUCAAAUAUGUGACAUCUGUGUGACACAAACAAGCAAAGGAAUGCGAUUAAUGCGAAUAAUCAGGCAAUUACAGUUGUCAUACCAGUUUCUGAUGUGGUUCAGUGAGCAUCUGUUAUCGCUUUGACUGACUGACCGACAAAAAAAAAAAAAAAAAUCUGGGAAAGCAGAUCUGGGAUCGGUUUGGCGAGGCCAACGCACCUUUUUAAUAUGAGAGCUGUGUGUCACACUACCCAGAUCUUACUCAAACAUUGGAAAACCUGUGGACAGAGCACGGUGAUGGACUGCCAUUCAGCGCUGUUACUGUUCACAGUGUUAAAGCCCUUUGUAGUCUUUGUACUUAGCGUGCCAUUGUCCUCAGUGGUGCACUGUGCCAUAUUAGUGCCAGUUUGUGCAUAUAUUCAGAUAUUCUAACGGGAGUUGUUUGAUCAUCGUCACCCUUUCUCGACUCUGAAAACCUAGUGACGGUCUAGUGAUGAUUUCAUCAUGUCAUGAAGGGAUCAACGACGCUUCCCGUGGUGCGCUCCUUUUAAUUCAGUUCCCAAAAGAUGUUCAGUGCCUGAGACCAACUUUAAUGUUGAGCAUGCCUCCUUGGGAUUUUUCAGGGGCUGUGCUUCAUGUCCAUCCUUUUUUGAGCCUUUGAAUCUGCCUAUUCUAAAGUUUUUAUUGUGCAAAGGCUGCACUUCACUUUUGUGUCAACAAGUCAACGAUUUAUUUUACAUGUAGAUGUGCACUUUCACUGCAAUAAAUGUGUGCCAAGCUAUGACAGAGAGAUUUGCCCCAGUGUGGCGUACAUUCCUCAAAUCAUGCACACGUCCUUUUCGCCUACGAACAGCAGUCUAUUUCAGUUUGUCUGUUUUGCCAACCUAAACUGGUGUUAUAGUUCUGCAUAAGCAACGUUUUUCGCAUCGGAUGCUGCCUGCUGCGACCUCUUCGCAUUUUACAGCAAGGCUGUUGGUUGAGGUAGUGCACGUGCACUUAACACUCAACUCAUUGAACUCUUGCCAUGGAGUUUAAGGAGUUUCUACCCAGUAUGUUUUUGCUAUGGUCGGUUGGGCUUCACCACACAUCUUGGACGAUUUUGGAUUGUCUGGACGUUACUGCACCUUCAGUGGCACAGUGCGUCUUCUUGAUUGGUGAGAGUGCUGACAUACAGAGGCUUGCAUGUAUCGGAAGCAACAUUCACCCCUGUUGGAAGCAGAGGAGGAGGACAUAAUUUCGAGUUGUCUGCAGGAUUUGUCUCUGCGCAGCCUAUCUAAAGAGCCCAGUGUGUCGAGCAGUCAGAUGAUCCCCUGCUGUAGACGUCUGAUGGUGGAGAGAUCGCAGCAGAUGCAG